rnacentral:RNase_P_RNA from 13 species
GUGGUCACAUACGACAAGACUGGAACUUACAUUUCAGUUCUUGUGAGACUAACACGGGGGAAGGUCUGAGCGGCUAAGCUUCUCUAGGCGGGAAUGCUCCUCCUCUUUGGAGGGGCAACGGGGGAAACCAGAAAGAAUACUUGAUGCUCUGUUAAGCAGAAGAGACGUUUCAUAAGAACCGUUGAUGUGAUGAAGAGUUGAUAGUUGGAACAU